UGGAAAUGCGAUGGAGACCACGACUGCGCAGACGGCUCGGACGAGAAAGACUGCACCCCCCGCUGUGACAUGGACCAGUUCCAGUGCAAGAGCGGCCACUGCAUCCCCCUGCGCUGGCGCUGUGACGCAGACGCCGACUGCAUGGACGGCAGCGACGAGGAGGCCUGCGGCACUGGCGUGCGGACCUGCCCCCUGGAUGAGUUCCAGUGCAACAACACCUUGUGCAAGCCGCUGGCCUGGAAGUGCGAUGGCGAGGAUGACUGUGGGGACAACUCAGAUGAGAACCCCGAGGAGUGUGCCCGGUUCGUGUGCCCUCCCAACCGGCCCUUCCGUUGCAAGAAUGACCGCGUCUGUCUGUGGAUCGGGCGCCAAUGCGAUGGCACGGACAACUGUGGGGAUGGGACUGAUGAAGAGGACUGUGGUGAGCAGGGGGCCGACGAGAGGCCUGCAGGGGACGGGUAGUGCACAGUGGGGUGAGUCUGGUCCUCGUGGGAGCUGCACUGGGGUUAGGGUUAACCAGGAGGACUCGCCCAGGAAGGGGAGGAUCCAUUGCUAGGAGCCUGGGGGCUUUUCGUUAGGAAAGAGAAGCCCCUGGGGAAGGCUCUGGGGGCUGCCUGAUGCCUUAGGUCUUGGAGGUGGGGCUGGGAACCCAAAUGUUUGACCUGCUCCCCCUGCAAGCCUUGUCACUUAGGAAUUGGGAGCCACUGUUAUCUAUGGGGUUGCCGUGGGAGGAGGAGGCAGGGGAGAAUACCCAGGGCCUAAAGCCUCUGCCCUCCUCAGAGCCCCCCACAGCCCAGACCACCCACUGCAAAGACAAGAAGGAGUUUCUGUGCCGGAACCAGCGCUGCCUCUCCUCCUCCCUGCGCUGCAACAUGUUCGAUGACUGCGGGGACGGCUCUGACGAGGAGGACUGCAGCAUCGACCCCAAGCUGACCAGCUGCGCCACCAAUGCCAGCAUCUGUGGGGACGAGGCACGCUGCGUGCGCACCGAGAAAGCGGCCUACUGUGCCUGCCGCUCGGGCUUCCACACCGUGCCCGGCCAGCCCGGAUGCCAAGGUAGGAAAGCGGGGCAGAGCAGGGGUGGACACCCCAACUGUGGACUCUCAUGACCCUCCCUGUAACCCUUAGACAUCAACGAGUGCCUGCGCUUCGGCACCUGCUCCCAGCUCUGCAACAACACCAAGGGCGGCCACCUCUGCAGCUGCGCUCGGAACUUCAUGAAGACGCACAACACCUGCAAGGCCGAAGGUGCCGGAGCCACCAGAGGGCAGAAAGGCUGGGUGGGGCAGGGCGACCAGGAUAUCAAACAGGGCCGACUUGGAAUGGAAUGUCUUCCUGCGGACAUCUUGCCCAGAC
rnacentral:sRNA from 1 species